rnacentral:rRNA from 1 species
UGUGUGACUGCCCAGACAGCCAGGAUGUUGGCUUAGAAGCAGCCAUCAUUUAAAGAAACUAAGCGUACACGGUGGAUGCCCUGGCAGUCAGAGGCGAUGAAGGGCGUGCUAUUUUCAUCAGACAAUCUGUGUGAGCACUGCAAAGUACGCUUCUUUCAGGUAAGGUUGGGUAGGGGAGCGUUCUGUAAGCCUGUGAAGGUGUGUCGUGAGGCAUGCUGGAGCCUUAGGGGUCGACUCACCCUGCCCCGAUUAACGUUGGACAGGAACCCUUGGUCUAGGCCUGCCGCCAGCGUUCAAUCUGAGCCAUGAUCAAACUCUUCAAUUUAAAAGUUUGGCUUUGGAUUAAACUUGUCGGUUCGAAUUAAACUUCUUGACACUGAACAUUGACUUGACACUGAACAUUGAAGGAACGUUGAAGACGACUCCUCCGUUACUCUUUAGCUUGACACUGAACAUUGAGUGAAAUUGAACUCGCUGUGAAGAUGCAGUGUACCCGCGGCAAGACGGAAAGACCCCGUGAACCUUUACUAUAGCUUGACACUGAACAUUGAGCCUUGAUGUGUAGGAUAGGUGGGAGGCUUUGAAGUGUGGACGCCAGUCUGCAUGGAGCCGACCUUGAAAUACCACCCUUUAAUGUUUGAUGUUCUAACGUGGACCCGU